rnacentral:lncRNA from 1 species
UUGUCGAAUUCUCUCCGUGGAGUGGUAGUAUUUGUGAAUGUGGAAAGAUGAGAUCGAAAUGGUAACUGCAAUGCUUUUGCAAGUGUUUGGAGAUGCAUCUUAAUUGGAUUAGGUGAAGUAGCCACAUGCUUUGUUAUUAGUGGAAUAACAUGAUGUUGCUUGGUAGUGUGACAAAUAUGUUUAGCUGUGCUGGGUGUUUAUCUAAUGUUUUGUUGUUUGCGAUUGAUCGGAUUAGCUCCUGCAACUGCAAUAAUCUUGCAUGUUAGUCCAUAUCAUAAUAUGCCCUCCAAGUAGAUUUUGUCAUUUUGCUAUGCAGUUUGGUUCCUCUCGUAGGUGAUAAACACAUAAAAAAUAUGUACAAAUGUUACAUGCAACAUUGUUUCUCACAAGUUGAUUUGUCUUUAUGGCAGCAAUUACUAUAGUGUGUAGUUGUGUACUUUCAGGUUUGCUGGUUCCAAUUUUAGAUUGAACUAGAGUAUGUUGAUGUGUUUUUUCUGGGUAAAAUUGCUUAGUGCGCUCAGAUUCCUCUUGGUUUUGGAAAGUACUGUUGUGAAGGAGGUCGGUGCCCAUCUGUCACUAUGCUUACCAGUUCAAGCUUUCUUAAUCAUUGAAUGGCAGAAGUCAAGUUUCUGUCAUAUUGAGAUGCCAAUGCCUGAAAUCAUGUGACUUUGGAAUCGAACUUACAGAUGUUCAGAGACAUUUUGAAGUAAGCCACAUUUGUGCAUGUCUAGUUAGUUAAAUAUUGAAUUCUUCCUCAUUUCCUUAACCCUUGUUGAUAAGGUUUUACGUCCUUGUCCAUGGCUCAUGUAGCGUAGAUAGUAACAGCUCACUGGAUUGCUUUCUUUCUGGUCAGUCAUUAUCUCAUUUUUCUUGCAAGUUUUGCUGGUUCGAAGGUCACGUUUUACAAUGCUAGUGUUUUGGGCUUUUGGGCCUUUUCUGUGUUUUUUGCUAUUUCCAGUAAGGAGAUGCCGUCCCAGUUAGAGAUUCAAGGCUAUAUCCUCCCACAUUAUUGCUGCAUCUGCUUUAUAUGCUUCUGUUCUUAACAUGUCUUAAAUUGUUGAUGACAAAGAACAAAUCUUCAGGACUCUCAGUAGUUAAUUUGUUUCUUUUCAUGCUGUAAAUGAAGCCAUAUAUGCUCUAGUUUUUUUUUCACAGCAAGAACAUGAGACCAGUUGCUUAAGCAAUUUGAGAGGUGAUCCAUCUGCCAUAAAUGAAAUCAAAGUAAUUGAAUUCUCCAGAACAAACUCUUGCAUAUUCUUAGUUCACUUUUUUGAAAUGUUCAAGUAUAAGGAAGAACUUAAAGCAUGUCGUUAUGAUUUUGAAAACUCAAGAUCUCUAUGCUUUAGUACACUCAGCAACUUCAUUGAUCCACCUCAAGUACAUUCUGCACUUUUGGGUUAAUCGCCUUCCUGUGUAAUGCUCUUUAACUCUUAUUUGGUAUUGAUUGGUGUAUCUGAUCUUUCUUUGCAUGCUUUUCUUGUUAUCUGGUUUUGGCUGACUCGUGAAUCAUACCAUUUGGCUUCAAUGGAUUAUUAACCCAUUGUAACCAUGUCCUUAUCCAAAACAACAAGUAUUAUCAACCCAGAGGGAGUAUUUCUAGUUCUUCAAUGUGUUUCAUAGUGACAACUAGUUCUAUUCAUGUUAAAUUUACAACAAAAUAUCCUGAUGUCAAAUGAAAGAACUAAAAUCAGUGUUUCUUUACUAGUCUUUCAUUUUGUUCCUAGCAUGUUGUGCCUUCUAGCAUAACAUCAGGUAUGAGAUCAAGAAGUUCUAAAUCAGUUACUGCUGUUAAUCUUCUACUAGGAACUUGAAUUCGCAGCCAAUAGGAAAAUGGAAGUUUUUACUACAUACUUUGACGUCAAGAUUGGCUCUCUUCCAUCUAUGUUAAUUACCAAGUUUUUCUGACCCCUCUUAUUUUGAUUAUCACGGACUAAUUGUUUUUAUGUUGCCAGACAGAUGUCAGGGAGCCAAGCCAAUGAAAUGUACCUUCCCAGUCUUUGUAUAAGCUGCAGUUUAUUCAGGAAAGCAUCGUAAUGUACAGGGCUAGAGAUAGUGUUCAACUUCAAUCUAGCGGAGUAUACAGACUACAGAGCAGAAGGGACUGAUAGUCUAAACUAAUUAUCUCAAUUUGUAGCUAGUAUUGCCGUAUGGUCCAAAAUGUCUUAGGUUUGCCUGGUUGUUGCAUGAAUUACCACACUCACAUUAGCCCCAGUUAUGCUCUCUUUUUCGCUUUCCGUAGAAGGGUUUAUUUAAUGGACAAUUUCUUUCACACCCUGGCCUAUAUAUUGGUCAGUGUGCGCACUAACUAGCAAGUUGGUACCAAUUCACACCCUCAACACAUUUGUCCCUCCUCAUGGGCUUUAAUGAGAUCAUCUAAUCUGGGCUGGGAUGUCACGUGGAUGGAUGCAAGGGUGUAUAGGUGAAAUGGAAAAUGAUAGAGAUGGAAGUUUCUGCCAAUUCUAUUUCCUAGGGUAUUAUGGUGGGAACUUUAGAUAGCACCAGCUACUCAGGGUAAUGGACAAUUUCUUUCGCACCCUGGCCUAUAUAUUGGUCAGUGUGCGCACUAACUAGCAAGUUGGUGCCAAUUCACACCCUCAACACAUGGGGGAAUUUGUCCCUCCUCAUGGGCUUUAAUGAGAUCAUCUAAUCUGGGCUGGGAUGUCACAUGGAUGGAUGCAAUGCAAGGGUGUAUAGGUGAAAUGGAAAAUGACACAGAUGGAAGUUUCUGCCAAUUCUGUUUCCUAGGGUAAUAUGGUGGGAACUUUAGAUAGCACCAGUUACUCAGGGGACAUUAUAGGGAUGCUCAGAAGGGGAUCCUAAAUGUCUGUGCUAUAUAUGGCAAUAUAGAGGCCUGCUUGGCUGUACUUUACAACGCUAUCUGCGGCUGCGACACAGCCGUGCCAAGGAGCAGUUGGUUGCGACGUAGGGGCUGUAAAGUGCAGCCAGAUAGGCGAUUUUAUGAUGAAUCUCAAGUGAUUCUGGGACCAAAUAUAGCAUACCCUUGUACAAAACUGUAAAAAUAAUGGUAUUUCUCUAGGUUCUCAUUUUUUUUGGUUGGGAAUGGGAUCAAUGGCAGCAUCCUGGAUGGUAUCAAUAUUUUGUUAGAAGAUAUUUUCUUGUACAAGAUUGAGGGUUGCUCCCUGAAGGCCAUUCACUGUUCUUAGUCAUUUUUGAAGGCCUACAGAAACCAGGACUGUUUGAUGCUCAAUAUUCCAAUGUUUGUUUGAACGUGCAGUCUACUUUAGAUGCAGUUUGUGCACCAUAUGAAGGUCCAAUCGAAUAACAACAGAUAAAGGCAUGAAUAUUUGAUGAAACAGAAAUAUUUGCAUGCAGAAAAGAAAAACAUUUUCUUUGAGAUAUGACAUGUAGAAUUUUGGAUGGGCCUUCUCCUGAUAUGAUGAAGGGAGCUAUGCACUUCAACUUUCUCUUGACUUGUGUAAAGGGGGAGUGCAUGCAAAUGUUGAUUUAUGAACUAUUUUACUACUUAGAUGUCGUCACAUGCCCCUAGCAUUAUAUAGACAUUUUAAUAUACUAUUAUUAAUUCAAUUAGCUUCUGACUUAUUUAUUUUGUUCAUGGCACUAGUUGUGGCUUAUAUGAAAAGACAGUGGCAAAAGUGGAUUGAUAGUUUAACCUUAUGGGGCCACCUUAUUUUAGUAUGUUAAUGAAUCAUUUGAAGUCAGUUCAACGUGUGAUGCUUGAGGAAGUUUUCUAGUAUAUUAAUGGGAACACCAUAUUAUUACUGAAGGGCAUAUCAUUGUGCCUAUAUUGUGCUAUACUUGUGUAAGUGGAUUCAGGUGGUGGGCUUAAAGUGCUAUGAAAUCAUUAGUUCAUCACAGCCCCUUAUAAAAUCAUUUUCUUCUCUGAGUACACAUGAACAUAUUCUUUCUGGGAUACUGGGUGUGCACUAGUGUCAGACCCACCACUUUUAUGUUAUCUUAAUUUACCUGGGAAGUUCUCUUUAGUUUUUAUUAUCAUCAUAAUUGUGAGUAUAAUAACCAAGCAAUCAACAUAAACUAGCCAUUUCAUCCUUCUUUUCAGAUCUGAAGUUGCAUAGUAUAUACUUGCAUAACUGAAUUGGCUCUGUCAUUUCCUUCACUUUCAAGAUGGCACGAGCCAUGCAGAUAUGCUGUCAAAUCAAUCUGCUUUUUUGGUUCUAUGAUAUUCUUACGGUAUUAAUGUUUUUUUAUUCCUGUAGUGAAAGCCACUUGGAUGGAAGUAUCUUGCUGGUACUACCAAGUUACUUUUAGCUGGUACUAGCCAAUCAAUUAAAAUUUCAUUUUUUUAUCCGUUAUUUCAUCCUUUUCUUUUCAUCAACUGUCGGUGAGGACUAUAGCAGGUGCUUCUCACUAGUAUUGGUGCUUUGUCUUCUGUUAAAUGGGACCUACCCCCACCUGCCUCAACUUUGUCUUACUCAUUCCUAGCAUGCUACAUCAAAGGUUCUUAACUAUGUUUACUAGAGUCAGUAAGUACCAUGUCAUAGUAUAUCCUUGCAUCCUCUAUCGGUGAGACCUCUGUAUUGGAGUUGUGUCUGCUGGCUAACACUACUUUAUUUCAAACGAUGUUUAUGUUCCAACGUAUGUUGGCUGCAAUUUAAUGCUCCAUUUACUUGUUUAUUGGGGAAAAAAACCUUAUUACCCCCAAAAUAUAAGCACUUAACC